rnacentral:rRNA from 1 species
AACGCAAUAAGUAUCCCGCCUGGGGAGUACGGUCGCAAGACUGAAACUCAAAGGAAUUGACGGGGACCCACACAAGCAGCGGAGCAUGUGGUUUAAUUCGAAGCAACGCGAAGAACCUUACCAAGGCUUGACAUCCCUUGACCGCCAUGGAAACAUGGCUUCCUUUCGGGGCAAGGAGACAGGUGGUGUAUGGUUGUCGUCAGCUCGUGUCGUGAGAUGUUGGGUUAAGUCCCGCAACGAGCGCAACCCUUAUCAUUAGUUGCCAGCGGGUAAUGCCGGGAACUCUAAUGAGACUGCCGGGGAUAACUCGGAGGAAGGUGGGGACGACGUCAAAUCAUCAUGCCCCUUAUGUCUUGGGCUACACACGUGCUACAAUGGCCGGUACAGAGGGCUGCAAACCCGUGAGGGGGAGCGAAUCCCAAAAAGCCGGUCUCA